GCAGCCGCCGCGGUAAUACGAAGGGUGCAAGCGUUAAUCGGAAUUACUGGGCGUAAAGCGUGCGUAGGCGGUGAGUUAAGUCUGCUGUGAAAUCCCCGGGCUCAACCUGGGAAUGGCAGUGGAUACUGGCUCGCUAGAGUGUGUCAGAGGAUGGUGGAAUUCCCGGUGUAGCGGUGAAAUGCGUAGAGAUCGGGAGGAACAUCAGUGGCGAAGGCGGCCAUCUGGGACAACACUGACGCUGAGGCACGAAAGCGUGGGGAGCAAACAGGAUUAGAUACCCCAGUAGUCCCUGUCUCUUAUAC
rnacentral:rRNA from 1 species